rnacentral:lncRNA from 1 species
GAAAAGAAAAUGAAAACAAACCCAAUUAGCCUAAAAUCCAAGUCUAAACAAAAGAGGAAAUUAAAUUUCUAUUUUUUAAUUCCAGCGCAUCUCCUUUUUCUUUCCUCUUAAUUCCCUCCUUUCUUUUCUUUUCUUUUCUUUUCUCCUUUUCCUCUUUCCUUGGGUCAGCUCUAUUCUCAGCCCACACCUCGGAGGCUCUAAACCACCAUUAAAUUCUCUUCUUCCCCUUUUACUUUGAGCCUACGUUUUGUUUUGUUUUGUUUUCUCUUCUUUUCUUUUCUUUUCUUUUUUCUUUCUGCAAGUUCCGCCCUCCCCAGCGUGAUGAUAGCAAGAACAAGCGAGUUGAUGGAGAGUUGAAAAGACAUGGGAGAGAGACGCGGUAAAAAAAGAAGAAAUACUACUGAUUGCAUGAGAAGAUAGAGCAGCAGUGCAAAAUCGAGGAAAGCCAUUGAAUUGGGGAAUGGGUUAGGUGAUGAACUCAACUAUAACAUUGAACUGAGACCAAGAGAAAAAAAAUAAGGGGAAGAAAAUAGUUCUUUUUCAAGAAAGAAAUAGAGGAGGAGAGAAGCGGCUUCUACUGGUGAUGGUCCAUUUAAUUUCUUUUGUAUGAAAAAAGUAAGAGAGAGAUUAGAAAGAAAGAAAGAGAGAAAAAAAAAGAGGUGAGAUUGUUUGCAUGAAAAAAGAAAGAUGAGAGAGGGAUUACAGAAAAGAGAUGGAACCCAAAAGUGAGGCUGAGUUUUCAGUGUUGAGUGAAGUACUCCAUCUUUGUUCAGUAAGUUCUUUUCUUCUUUUCUGUCUUCUUUCAUUUUCUAUUCGCAAUGUUUGAAUGUUCUUCCUAGGAUUGGUUGUGGACUCAAGAUGAUCAUGCGAUUCUGGAUUUAAUUCAAGAUGAUCAUGAUAUUGUAUUUGAAUGAUGUUUGCUUCUCUGGUUUUAUGGAAGAACGAGUACUGUUAUAUUUGUAUGGACUAGUCUUGUUGGUAACAUUAAACUAGAAUUAAACCAGGUCAAGCUCUUAAUUAAGGAACUUGAGAUGAGCUAAAAUAUUUUGAUACUCUUUUCUUCUUGAUUAAGCUGAUUGUUGACAGAGAUUUUAAUAUUACAAAUCUUCGUUUUACUUGAAUUGAUUGAUUUAAUAA